rnacentral:lncRNA from 1 species
UCCCGUGUAGUUAGCAGGCCUAGUGCACAGUAGGCUCUAGUCUUUUUCUUUUACUUUGUCUUUCUGUCUUUUCUAUUUUUCUUUUUAUAGUUUAUGUUUUCUUUUAAAUGCCUUUUUUUUGUUUUAGUAAAAUACCAAAAUGGCACCUAAUUUGAUGCUACCAAAUAUGCCAUUGCCACAGUAACUUGCUAACCAAUCUAAAUUAGUUUCGUAAUUAUUUAAUAUUUAAAAGUGUUUAAAUAAUAGUUUUCGCUACUAUUUUAUUCAACUUAUAGUAUUUAAAUAUUUUAUAAAGGUGUGGUUUCUCCACCAUAAUUACCUAUGAAAUAUUUGAUUCACUCCGAACAUUUUAGUUUUAAUAUUUGAAAACAUUUGUUGUUUGCUUGAUUUUUUUUAAUUUGAAUCCGAACCGGUUUCGAACUAACGCGAGAUUAGUAACAGUAAUCGGGGUGAUGUGACAUCAUUAGCAGAGAAUUACUGUAGCUUAAUUAUCCGGGCGUCACAAUUCUCCUCCACUACAAGAAAUCUCGUCCCGAGAUUUAAGAGGGGAAGUAAGGGGGAAGGGAUUUGGUUGCGAAAUUCUAACGAGUCUUCUCGGUCUUAGUGGCUCUUCCCAAAGAGGUCGAUCUAUUAGAUUGAUGUCUUCAUUUCUCUGCUUCAGAUCAUCAUGAUGAAUUCGUCAUCCUUUCAUCGGGAAUUUCCUUCGUACUUACGAAAAGGAUAAGGGGUAGCUUCGGAAGAACUUUACAAGGUUGGCUAUCUAUUAGACAACUCAGGGAAUGUGGCAGAAAGUAUCUCUCGAAUAGAUACUUAAGAAAAUAUAGAGAGUAAAGUAAGAAGGUACCAUGAGAAGUUUCCAAUGGGCAAACAAUCGUUCGAUGGCCUAAUUAGAAGGUGAAAGGGGUUCAGAGCAACGAGAAUAAGUAUUGCGUCUGAUACCAGAAUAGAUCACUAGGCAGGUGGCACAUGAAUUACAUAAGUCAAGCGCGAGGAAUAACUUUGACAACAGGGUGUACAGGAGAGUCAAGUUUCUAUCCUGUGGAACUGUGGGUUAUGGGCCCACCAUGUGGCUUAAAAGUAGAAAGGGGGUUGACAUCUUGCAUGGUCACGAUAGCAAGGCAUAUCAGAGGGUAGCCUGCCAGUUAUGUUGGCAACAACGUUGGUACCAAGGGCGAGGGACGAAGAGAACCAUUUUUCUGCUCGUUGAACGAGGCGGACCAAUAGGCAAGGUUCUCGUCCAUCGGUGACUACCGGAAUGUCAUCAACAAUAGUAAUAGGGUCUUAUUGACAGAGUAGUACACAAAGGUGUUUAUAUAAGUAGUGAAUUAUUACUGCUUAGAUCAUAUAGAUCACAAGAAAGAUUAAUCAAAAUAUUGGAAAGGAAAAGGUGAUCAUCAGAUUAAACAGAACAAUGGAAAGGAAAAUGUGUUUAAACACAUAUUUCAGGGGGUAUAUCGUUCCCAAGGAUAAGCAAAGUAUGAUAUCCAUGAUAGGAUAGAAAGUAGAAAACCAUUUAGGUAAUGAGAGAGGAAUUUCACGACAUUACCCAUACAAAGGUGUUAGGAUAAUUGAUAAAGAAAAUCUAGCAUUGUGCUUCGAACGUUCUUAUUGAAGAUCGGAGUACCACAGACAUGUUUCAAGAUAUCAUUUACAUGGACUUUAAGCAAGGUCGGACUAUGGAUAUAAGAAGGAUUCAUCAGGAACAACUUGUGGAAUAAGUCUUACAGUUUCCCCAUGGAAGAAUGGGAAACCUUGCUGAAAAGGAAACUAUAACAAUAGGGCCUCCGGCCAGGUGUGCUAGGCAUGAUAUCACCUUACCGGGUCAUGUAAAGAUGUUAUAACUCCUAGAAAUACGUUCCAACCAUCAUAUUUGACCGAGAAUCGGAUCUGAUUUGGUUCAGGAUACCUUAGACUCAGGAUGCCUGAGAAGAAAAGGUGCAAAACAAAUUGACGAGACGACAUUGUAAGAUUCUCGGGAAAAUUACUACGAAAGCGAGUUCCGAAACAAAAGCUCAUCAUUAAACUAAUGAAGGGAUAAGGUGGUAGCUGAUGAACUCAGCGACAAUUCAUCGAGACUUCCAAAAGAUGGGUUUCCACAAUUAUGUGAACAAGGAGAUAACAUUAGUCAGAUCAAAUGAUAUAAUGAUGUAUGCUCGAGGAAAACAUACACAGUUAAACAUUGGUUGAAAGGUGCACCCGAAAUAUGGGCUUAAGUAGCAUGAUCAAUGUUAGAAUGGUGGUUCGAUAACCAAUGGUCUAAGAAUGAAAUAUCGACCAUUAACUUCGAAGCAAUAGGGUUGCUAGAAGUUUUGAAGUCGCACAUCAUAGUUCGAUUGUCGGUUUUCCGGUUAGAAAUAACACGGAGACCAAGGAAUGAAUGGAUAUGUCAAAAGGUAUCACAUGUAUCAAGAAUUCUUAAGAGGUGGUGAAAUUCUCACGACAUUCUUGACAUAAAAGAUGGUAAUACCCCAAGGUAAAGACGAACAAAUGCUGGAUAGCAAGGAUCUCAAGGUAUGACACAAAACACGAACAAGUUUGUGUUGAACGGAAGGCAAUCAAGUGGUCAAUGAUAAUACAAAUCAUCGAGGAAGGAUGGUAUUGCUCAUCAUGAAUUCGAUGGGUAUCUUGGAAGAGCUCAAUAUGUUGAUGAUGUUCACGACACAUUUGUUAAGAGAUUUCAUGAAGAUGUAAUCGGUCGGCGAUGACAUCAAGUCAAAGGAAUGAUGACACGAAAGGUUAUUGGAACCAAGGGUACGACACAAAUUCGAAAUCAAGCUUGCGGUUUAAGGCUAAACGAUAUGACGAGGAAGAUCGACGUAAGGUUAGCUCAUCAUCAAAAAUUGUGCUAUGGGAAGAAGGACCAUGUAGCACAGUAAAAUUUAGCACAAUAAUGAUAUAGCCGAUCAGGCUAGGAAUGACUUGAAGGAAUAUUAAACUCAUAAGCAAUGAUAAUUACUUAGAGUUAUUGAAUCGGAGUGCGGAAUCGAUUCACUUAUCGGUGUUCUCGAGUGUGUAAUAAUUCAUAACCCUGGGGAAAUCUGAAAAUGGUGAGAAACAAUACUAGAUGAAGACUCAUAGGAAGCAACACGUUUCUUUGACAUUCUCGAGAUACCAUAGGGUAUACUCUAAGGUAGAGCAGAAUAGAGGUCGAAUAGGUGUAUUGAUCUGUAGAAGACAAGUACUUCAACUUGUCCAAGAAAUGGGAUCAAGGAAGAACAAUAUGGUCGGAACCACGAUCGCAAAAGACCAUAUCCCGGAUACAAGAUGAACUUACACCAAGGAAAUAAUUAAUUUUAAGAGAAGCUUGCUUGAUAAGAUCUACAUCGUGUCCGUGGGCAUGAACACAAAGUUCAAGGUCGACUCCCACUUCUUCAAUGUAUAACCUUCCAUUCACCUCUCACUUUCGAAGAAGUUGUAGUGUUGAAAUUUUAUCUAGCAAAAUACCAGAAGAGUAUGACUCGUGAAAACUUCUGAGUUCACACAUAUUAAGGAAGGCAUAGGUUCAACCCGUCAGGGUAUCAUGGAAACAUAUACCACAAGCUUCAAUAGUAAAUACCACCAGCUCGAAAACAGAGCAUGGUUGAGAAAACAGAGGAUACAAUUUACCAAAGGCUUUAUAUAUUCGUGGAAAGGCUCACAAGAUUAUUUGAAUAUGAAGGGCACUGUCGGAUAAUAAUCCAACAAGAGGUCUGGUGGUCUACAACGGAGCUGAUGUGAGUAUCGGUACUCUAUCAAAGGAAGAAGGAAUGCAAGUGCAUCGAAUUAUAGAAACAACUGACUAACUCAAAGCUUAAAUGCAAAGGAAUUAUGAAUUCCAAGACAAGGGAUCAGAAGCAAUGCUCUGAUUAGGGAUGGAUAAGUUGAAUAGCCUUAGGGGUACAAUCGAUGGCAAUUUGAUUGGUCGAGAUCCAGCUCAUGUCUGGAAUGACGUCUGAAUUGGAAGGAUAAAUUCCAGGGAACAACUGAUGAUUGUGUGCAUUCACACACAAGUGGAAUCAAAAGGAUCAGAAUGACAAUCACAAAGGUUUUUAAAGUAAAUUGCUAGUCCAAAGGAAUUAACCGGAAUGCAAGUAUGCAAGAAUUCCCAGAACAACAGGUUGUUGAGGAUUUUCGAAAGAUCAAAUAGUAUUUCGAAGUCUUUUGCAGAACACAAGAACAUCUGGGAAUGAGUGGAUACUCGAUAAGUGCGAGGAAUUAUCCGUAUGGGUAUUUCUGUGGCAAGGAACUACAAGGCAGUGGUACAAGGGAUUCUUAAGAGUCGGAGAGCAAUUCGAUGCAUCUUGUAAUAACAAGAGAAACUCAGAGUAAUUGUAUGAACAACAAGUAUAUGUCGUUAUCCAUAUGGAUACAUCGGUAAUAGGGAAUUGAAAAGGCAGAGGGCACAAGGGUCUCGAAAAUGAUCGAAGAGUAUCUUCAAAAUCUUCUGGUGCAGUAGGCGAUCAUCUGUGAUAAGGGGCUCUCCGGGAGAAGUAGUUACGAGAACCUAGAGUCAGAUUUAGUAAAAUCAUUUAACCCGAAUAGAAGAGAGAUCAGAAUCCCAGAGUAAGGAUCGAGGAGUAAAAUAUCCUAAUACCACCCAAUGGCGACAUGGGCCCGUAAGACACACAACCAUGUUAGUAAAAAAAUUGUAAUGUCUAGACUCGACUUCGGCCAAGGAGUGUGGAAGGGGGAUUCCUACAGGCAGUCAGCUCUGAUAACAACUUGUGACGCCCCCGAUUCAAUCAUACACUAAUCAUGCACGCAAACGUGUACGAUCAAGAUCAGGGACUCACGGGAAGAUAUCACAACACAACUCUAAAAACAUAAAUAAGUCAUACAAGCAUCAUAAUACAAGCCAGGGGCCUCGAGGGCUCGAAUACAAGUGCUCGAUCAUAGACGAGUCAGCGGAAGCAACAAUAUCUGAGUACAGACAUAAGUUAAACAAGUUUCCAUAAGAAGGCUGGCACAAACUGGGAUACAGAUCGAAAGAGGCGCAGGCCUCCUGCCUGGGAUCCUACUAAACUACUCAUGGUCGUCGGCGACGGCCUGCACGUAGUAGUAGGCACCCUCGUGCUAGUAGGAGUCAUCGAAGGUGGCAACUGACUCAUGGGCUCCAACAUCUGGUUGCAACAUCCGAGAAAAAGAAGAAAAGGGGGAAAAGAGGGAGCAAAGCAACCGUGAGUACUCAUCCAAAGUACUCGCAAGCAAAGAUCUACACUACAUAUGCAUGGGUAUCUAUGUAAAGGGGCAAUAUCGGUGGACUGAACUGCAGAAUGCCAGAAUAAGAGGGGGAUAGCUAGUCCUGUCGAAGACUACGCUUCUGACAGCCUCCAUCUUGCAGCAUGUAGAAGAGAGUAGAUGGUAAGUUCACCAAGUAGCAUCGCAUAGCAUAAUACUACCCGGCGAUCCUCUCCUCGUCGACCUGUGAGAGAGCGAUCACCGGGUUGUAUCUGGCACUUGGAAGGGUGUGUUUUAUUAAGUAUCCGGUUCUAGUAGUCAUAAGGUCAAGGUACAACUCCGGGUCGUCCUUUUACCGAGGGACACGGCUAUUCGAAUAGAUAAACUUCCCUGCAGGGGUGCACCACAUAACCCAACAUGCUCGAUCCCAUUUGGCCGGACACACUUUCCUGGGUCAUGCCCGGCCUCGGAAGUUCAACACGUCGCAGCCCCACCUAGGCAAAACAGAGAGGUCAGCACGCCGGUCUAAAUCCUAUGGCGCAGGGGUCUGGGCCUAUCGCCCAUUGCACACCUGCAUGUUGUGAGGGCGGCCGGGACCUAGCAACCUCCAUUACAAAGGAAGUUACGUUACGCGGUCCAAUCUGGCGCACGCCGCUCAGUCGCAAACGUCACGAAGGCUUCGGCUGAUACCAUGACGUCGAGUGCCCAUAUCUUUCCCACGUAGUUGGUUAGUGCGUAUAGACCAAAUGGCCAGACUCAGAUCAAAUACCAAGAUCUCGUUAAGCGUGUUAUUAUGAAGUAACCGCGAACGCCAACCAGGGCCAGGCCCACCUCUCGCCUAGGUGGUCUCAACCUGCCAUGUCGCUCCGCCACAAAGAUCCACUCGCGGGUACUCCACGAGCCGGCCCGACUUUAGUCACCACAGGUAUCUUGUAAAGUAUAUAAGUAUAUACCCGUGAUCACCUUCCGAGUGAUCACGACCCGAUAGUAUAGCAAGGCAGACAGACAAGAAUGGAGGGCCACAGAUGGAAUACUAGCAUCCUAUACUAAGCAUGUAGGAUUGCAGGUAAAGGUAACAACAGUAGUAGCAAGGACAGGCUAUGCAGUAGAUUAGGAUUAACGGAAAGCAGUAACAUGCUAUACUACUCUAAUGCAAGCAGUAUAGAGAAGAAUAGGCGAUAUUUGGUGAUCAAGGGGGGGGCUUGCCUGAUUGCUCUGGCAAGAUGGAGGGGUCGUCAACACCGUAGUCGUACUGGGUAGCAGCGACGUCGGUCUCGGAGUCUAGCGAGCGAAGAGGGGGAAGAAACAAUAAAUAUAAUGCAAACAUAUGCAUGACAUGACAAUGAGCGUUGCUAGGGGUGCCCAAUCGCGGUAAUAGGUGAUACCGGCAAAGGGGGAAACACCCGGGAAAGUAUUCCCGAUGUUUCGUGUUUCCGGACAGAUGAAACGGAGGGAGAAAGUUACGAGUUCGCUAUGUUAGGGAUGUGUGGCGGACGAACGGGCUGCGUAUCCGGAUUCGACUCGUCGUUCUGAACAACUUUCAUGUACAAAGUUUUUCCAUCCGAGUUACGGAUUAUUUUAUAUGAUUUUUUAAAGUUUUAAGGAUUUUCUAAAAUAUUUCAGUUCGAAAUUAUAUACCUAAAUACUCCUGUCACAUUGUGAUGUGCUAGCCAGUGUGUAUUAUAGGUGGGUCCAUGGGUUGGGUUGACUAGGUCAAUUUGACUGGUCAACAGAAUGUGUGGUCCACAUGUCAUUGUCCAAGUGCUAAUAAAACAACUAACUAAUUUAAUUAAAGGGGAGUCCCACAUGUCAUGUGCUAGUAGAUAACCUAACUACUAAUUAGUAAUUAGCCGCUAAGAUAAAAUGCACGGCCGGCCGGCGGUGGUUGUGCAUACACACGCACACCACACGGGCUUGGACAUGGCCACGGCCAUGGCCACUAACAGCAACCAGCAUCGGCUGGAACAACAACUAGCAGCGGCAGUAGGGAAGAAUCAGCAGCCGGCAAUCAACAGCAUCUGGGAGCAGCAAUCGCUAGCAGCCAGGAGCAGCGGCGGCGGGCACCAGCAGUGAGCAGCAGCAAGCGGGAGCAGCAACAGCUUGUGGCAGCGACAGUAGAGGUAGCAGGGGGCGAGCGGCGGCUGCGGGCAGGUCACGCGGCGGCAACCAGCAGUACACUGCAGCCGCAUACGUCAGUUAAGCAGCAGAAGCAGGCAGCAGCUCACGCACAUACGUACGUACGCGUACGCGCGAGAUCGGAUGUGUUCGGGGACGGCAAAAUACGACCCAAUCGAGGCGGACGAAAGGGGAUCCGGAGGAGUUGCUCACCACGGGGCCGGGGACGUGGUCGGGGAAGCCGGGGACGGUCGGGGUCGAGCGAAUUGACGAUGGCGGUCGGCGGUGCAGGAUGUCGAAGACGAACUCGAUGGCGGCGAUGCGGGGCUCUCCGGCUUGGUCUUGAGGGCGCAGGCGACGAACUGGUCCACAGUGGACCUCCUGGACCCGUCGGUGUGGCGGACGGUGGCCGCGUGCACGUUGACGACGCGGCCAUGGAGGCGCUCGGCGAGGCGAGCAAAGAGGAAACGGCGUGUGUGCGGGGAACGGAAAGGCGGGCUAGGAUUUCGGGGUGCGAUGCGACCCUUAUAGGUCGACGGGGGGCGCGGCGGAUGAUCGGCACGUGGCAAUCGCGGCCACGGGCGGCUGCCCGGGGUCCACCUCCCCUAUGUGAACAGAGGAGGAAGGAGAGGGGAAGUUGGGCUGGGCCUCCCGUGUAGUUAGCAGGCCUAGUGCACAGUAGGCUCUAGCCUUUUUCUUUUACUUUGUCUUUCUGCCUUUUUUAUUUUUCUUUUGAUAGUUUAUGUUUUCUUUUAAAUAGCUUUUAUUUUUGUUUUAGUAAAAUACCAAAAUGGCACCUAAUUUGAUGCUACCAAAUAUGCCAUUGCCGCAGUAACUUGCUAACCAAUCUAAAUUAGUUUCGUAAUUAUUUAAUAUUUAAAAGUGUUUAAAUAAUAGUUUUCGCUAUUAUUUUAUUCAAAUUAUAGUAUUUAAAUAUUUUAUAAAGGUGUGGUUUCUCCACCAUAAUUACCUAUGAAAUAUUUGAUUCACUCCGAAC